rnacentral:rRNA from 1 species
GUUGGAAGGGUAGAAGCCUCCCAAGCCGAAGAUCGAUAGUCAAGUUUGAUAGAACAGAUGACCACAUUGGGAAUGAGAUCUCCCAAGUAGCUUAAGCUACCAGCAGUCAAGAAUAUUAGUCAAUGCUCGCAAGAGUGAACUAGCUAACUGAAAUCAAUGGUGUGUCAUCAUUGAUAAAGUAAGGGAAAAGAAAUGAUAUUACCUUACUAUUAGUGUCGUCCAAAUACUCGUGCCAGAAGACUCGGUAAGGCGAGAGACGCAAACGUUAGUCGUCCUAAUCAGGCGUAAAGGGUUUGUAGGCAGCUUUAAGAAUUUAUUCUCUCCACUAAAAUUAAUUUUUUAUUUAAAAAGUUAAGGAGUUAAAAGAGUGAGUCAAUUAAAGCUAGAAUCAAGUAGAGGUUAAUUUAAAUAAUGUUUGAACAUAGGGUUGAUAUCUAUAGAAUUCAAAUGGAAUACUAACGGCGAAGGCUUUUUUCCAAUAAUGAUUGACGCUGAGAAACUAAGGUGAGGAAAGAAAAAAGGAUUAGAGACCCUCGUAUCCCUCACUGUCAACGAUGAAUGGUAGUUACUAGAAAUAUAAUUCUAGAGACGAUGUUAACACGAAAACCAUUCCGCCUUGUGAGUACGGCUGCAAAGUUGAAAACAAAAAAAUUAGUCGGUUUCGGAGCAAACGGAGUGAAGCAUGUUGUUUAAUACGAUACCCCGCGUAAAAUCUUACCAGUCCUUGCAUAAAACUUUUAUUUAUAAAAGGUUGUAUCCUAACUCUUUAAUUAAAGAAUGUCGGAUCUUCAUACAGG